UCCCAGCUACUUGAACUCCCAAGGUUA
rnacentral:piRNA from 1 species